AAGUCGUAACAAGGUUUCCGUAGGUGAACCUGCGGAAGGAUCAUUAUCGAGUUUUGAACGGGUUGUAGCUGGCCUCUCACGAGGCAUGUGCACGCCUGGCUCAUCCACUCUUAACCUCUGUGCACUUCAUGUAAGAGAAAAAAAUGGUGGAAGCUUCCAGGAUCUCGCGAGAGGUCUUCGGUUGAACAAGCCGUUUUUCUUUCUUAUGUUUUACUACAAACGCUUCAGUUAUAGAAUGUCAACUGUGUAUAACACAUUUAUAUACAACUUUCAGCAACGGAUCUCUUGGCUCUC
rnacentral:misc_RNA from 1 species